GACCAAACCCAGGACCUUGCACUAGCUAGAAUUUGAUUCGAUGUAGGAGAAAUGGGGUAGAUGCUCCGGGUCAGCUGCUUCUGGAACAGAAGAAAAAUGCCGAGAGGGUGGGAGAGCAGCUUUCUGAGUCCUCUCAUAAAUGGAUCUACGGGGUGUAAAAACAAAACAAAAGGAAACAAGAAACCUGAGUAAUUGCUGAUGAG